rnacentral:rRNA from 1 species
ACGCUCGACACCUAUGGGAGGCAGCAGUGGGGAAUAUUGCACAAUGGGGGAAACCCUGAUGCAGCGACGCCGCGUGAGCGAAGAAGUAUUUCGGUAUGUAAAGCUCUAUCAGCAGGGAAGAAACUGACGGUACCNGACUAAGAAGCACCGGCUAAAUACGUGCCAGCAGCCGUGGUAAUCUGAGCGGGCUGGCAAGGC